rnacentral:lncRNA from 1 species
CUAGCAUCGUGGCCCCAAAGACCUCUCAGGGGAAAAUCAGCCUGUCUCAGAAGGAAGCCAACUCUCGGGCAGGUAAGGAACCUAGUCUACCUACUUGCUUCGGGCAUUGGAUCCAGCCUCACUGAAGCAAGCCACGUCUUGGACUUUAACCCAUGAAUCCAGUGAGCCCCUGUUGUGCUAACACUGAAGCACUGGCCUUCUGGCCACAGUGACUGAUGGCUCCCACGGUGUAUAGGCCCUACAGUUUCUGGCAUAGGCCUCCAGCUACAGGCUGUGGACACACAUUUAGCUCUGGGACUGGGGUCCUGGUGAGAAGCCGGUGGUGAGGGACAAGGGACCCACAGGGAAAAGCCAAGCUAAGAAAGCUGUGUAAGAGACAAAGUGUUUCCCAGAUUUCCUGUGGUCAGGGGGACUUGUUGGUGGGAGAUGGGGCUGGCCCUGAGGAAGGAGGCGGUAACAGGGGCUUCUGUCUGGUAUCUGCAGUGCAGCUAGGAGGCCCUGUGAUCACACUUGCUUCUGAGGAUCACUAUACAUGCACACCAAUGUGCUCGUUUUUUGUUGUUGUUGUUGUUGUUGUUUUGUUUUGUUUGAAUUCUGAGGAUUGAACCCAGGGCCUUGCAUAUGCUAGGUAAGUGCUGUACCAUUGAGCUACAUCCCCAGCCUGCACCUAAAAACUGUUUAAAAAUGGGCUGGGGUGGGCUGGGGCUGGGGCUGAGCAGUAGAGCGCUCACCUAGCACGUGCAAAGCCCUGGGUUCAAUCCUCAGCACCAUAUAAAAAUAAAUACAUAGAUAAAAUAAAGGUAUUGUAUCCAACUACAACUAAAAAAAUAUAUUAAAAAACAUUUCAAAAA